rnacentral:lncRNA from 11 species
AUGCAGGAUAUUGAAAACAUCAGGCUUUCUUUCUCCUUUGGUUGAGUCUUCAGGAUGAAUUCACUUGCUUAGCACCUGUCCUUGGACAAAGGACAGAGCUUAUCACUUCGGUACCUCCAGAAUAUUGUAAAAAAGAGCAUGAUUUGCCCACCAAAAUGAGAUAUAUGGGAAAAGUGGAGGCUGGUGGAAAGAAGAAGUCAUCCCUGGGUGCAUUUCUGAAGAAGCCUUCCAGUGGACUUUAGAAGGUUCAAAAUAUUGUUGUUGACAUAUCCAGCCUGGAAUUGACCUAGCUUUUGAUUAUUCUAAAUUUUGCUGAAUAUUCUUUUUUGUGGUGUAGGAACCAACCCCUACUCUUUCCAUGUUAUUUUUUGCCAAGGAUACUAAAGCAAUGCUUUAUUAAAUGAAUACUUACAUUCUUAGCACUGAAGAAGAAUACAACUUCAAACAAGUGUUGAGUAUCUUUCUGUCACCAAAUGGCAGCUUUUG